rnacentral:rRNA from 1 species
CUGGCGGCACGCCUAACACAUGCAAGUCGAACGGAGUUAUGGGAGCUUGCUCCUAUAAACUUAGUGGCGGACGGGUGAGUAACACGUGAGCAACCUGCCUUCAGAGAGGGAUAGCUUCUGGAAACGGAUGGUAAUACCUCAUAACAUAUUGAUACGGCAUCGUAUUGAUAUCAAAGAUUUAUCGCUGAAAGAUGGGCUCGCGUCUGAUUAGCUGGUUGGUGAGGUAACGGCCCACCCAAGGCAACGAUCAGUAGCCGGACUGAGAGGUUGAACGGCCACAUUGGGACUGAGACACGGCCCAGACUCCUACGGGAGGCAGCAGUGGGGAAUAUUGCACAAUGGGCGCAAGCCUGAAUGCAGCGAUGCCGCGUGAGGGAAGAAGGUUUUCGGAUUGUAAACCUCUGUCAUCGGGGACGAAAAUGACGGUACCCGAGAAGGAAGCUCCGGCUAACUACGUGCCAGCAGCCGC